AUUUAAAUAGCUUAAAAUUUUAAAGUUUAAUAUUGAAGAUAUUAAGAUGAAUUAUUUCUUUAAAUA
rnacentral:tRNA from 1 species